CAUUCCACUGUGCCCCAACCAUGCUGAACAGAAGCAGCUGGCGGUCUGAAUCCCUGCAGAAAUGGUGUCAGAAGGACUGAGCCCCACCCGACAUCAAUGAGAAUGCAUAAGUGCUACAGGCUGGAACUAGGAAACACCCCACUUCCCCCACAUAACUCCUUUGAAAGAGUGGCUGAAGUUUUCAACUCAAGAUGGUCACCCUGCUUAUCACACAGAACCAGAUGCUUCAGCACCUUGGAGAGCUCCACAAGACCCACAGACCCGGGCCCCCCAACCACAAGAAAUAUAAUAAAAUACUGCUUUGAGACUCAAUUUCAGCACUUAGCUACAUAAAUAAAAGUUCCAGGAAGACUAAAUCUUAGAACCAACAGGGAGAUGAGCACUUCCAGAGUUUCAUCAGCUUCCAAAUGAUAUUUAAAUAUGAGAACGUGAGGCCUGGCUGGGCCUGUGGUGAAAUCUCCAUAACAGCAUCCUUGUAAUAAAUGCUGAAAUUCAUGCAA